rnacentral:rRNA from 1 species
AAAGGAAUAGACGGGGACCCGCACAAGCGGUGGAUGAUGUGGUUUAAUUCGAUGCAACGCGAAAAACCUUACCUACCCUUGACAUGCCAGGAACUUACCAGAGAUGGUUUGGUGCUCGAAAGAGAGCCUGGACACAGGUGCUGCAUGGCUGUCGUCAGCUCGUGUCGUGAGAUGUUGGGUUAAGUCCCGCAACGAGCGCAACCCUUGUCAUUAGUUGCUACGCAAGAGCACUCUAAUGAGACCGCCGGUGACAAACCGGAGGAAGGUGGGGAUGACGUCAAGUCCUCAUGGCCCUUAUGGGUAGGGCUACACACGUCAUACAAUGGGCGGUACAGAGGGUUGCCAACCCGCGAGGGGGAGCCAAUCCCUUAAAACCGCUCGUAGUCCGGAUUGUAGUCUGCAACUCGACUGCAUGAAGUCGGAAUCGCUAGUAAUCGCGGAUCAGCUUGCCGCGGUGAAUACGUUCCCGGGUCUUGUACACACCGCCCGU